GAUGAACGCUGGCGGCGUGCCUAAUACAUGCAAGUCGAGCGAACAGACGAGGAGCUUGCUCCUCUGACGUUAGCGGCGGACGGGUGAGUAACACGUGGAUAACCUACCUAUAAGACUGGGAUAACUUCGGGGAACCGGAGCUAAUACCGGAUAAUAUAUUGAACCGCAUGGUUCAAUAGUGAAAGACGGUUUUGCUGUCACUUAUAGAUGGAUCCGCGCCGCAUUAGCUAGUUGGUAAGGUAACGGCUUACCAAGGCAACGAUGCAUAGCCGACCUGAGAGGGUGAUCGGCCACACUGGAACUGAGACACGGUCCAGACUCCUACGGGAGGCAGCAGUAGGGAAUCUUCCGCAAUGGGCGAAAGCCUGACGGAGCAACGCCGCGUGAGUGAUGAAGGUCUUCGGAUCGUAAAACUCUGUUAUUAGGGAAGAACAUAUGUGUAAGUAACUAUGCACGUCUUGACGGUACCUAAUCAGAAAGCCACGGCUAACUACGUG
rnacentral:rRNA from 1 species